GACGAACGCUGGCGGCGUGCUUAACACAUGCAAGUCGAACGGAAAGGCCCUGCUUUUGUGCGGUGCUCGAGUGGCGAACGGGUGAGUAACACGUGAGUAACCUGCCCUUGACUUUGUGAUAACUUCAGGAAACUGGGGCUAAUACCGGAUAGGAGCUCCUGCUGCAUGGUGGGGGUUGGAAAGUUUCGGCGGUUGGGGAUGGACUCGCGGCUUAUGAGCUUGUUGGUGGGGUAGUGGCUUACCAAGGCUUUGACGGGUAGCCGGCCUGAGAGGGUGACCGGCGACAUGGGGGCUGAGAUACGGCCCAGACUCCUACGGGAGGCAGCAGUGGGGAACAUUGCACAAUGGGCGGAAGCCUGAUGCAGCAACGCCGCGUGCGGGAUGACGGCCUUCGGGUUGUAAACCGCUUUGGCCUGUAACGAAGCGUGAGUGACGGUAAUGGGUAAAGAAGCACCGGCUAACUACGUG
rnacentral:rRNA from 1 species